AUUGAACGUUGGCGGCAUGCCUUACACAUGCAAGUCGAACGGUAACAGGGUGCUUGCACCGCUGACGAGUGGCGAACGGGUGAGUAAUGCGUCGGAACGUGCCGAGUAGUGGGGGAUAACGCAGCGAAAGUUGUGCUAAUACCGCAUACGUACUGAGGUAGAAAGUGGGGGACCUUCGGGCCUCACGCUAUUCGAGCGGCCGACGUCUGAUUAGCUAGUAGGUGAGGUAAGAGCUCACCUAGGCGACGAUCAGUAGCGGGUCUGAGAGGAUGAUCCGCCACACUGGGACUGAGACACGGCCCAGACUCCUACGGGAGGCAGCAGUGGGGAAUUUUGGACAAUGGGCGCAAGCCUGAUCCAGCCAUGCCGCGUGUCUGAAGAAGGCCUUCGGGUUGUAAAGGACUUUUGUCAGGGAGGAAAUCCUAGUGGCUAAUAACUGCUAGGGAUGACAGUACCUGAAGAAUAAGCACCGGCUAACUACGUGCCAGCCGCCGCCGUAAGAC
rnacentral:rRNA from 1 species